CUAUGGGACUGGCUAGUUUUUACGUUGGCUCGCCAAGCCUAUCACAACCCUCCUCCUUUACCCGGGCUUGGGACCGGCUAUGCCUAGAAGACAUAGGCGGAGUUUCUUCCUUCCUUAGUAUCUCAUUAAAAUCACCGAUACAAGCCCACGGGAGGGUAGAUUCACCCCUCAAGAAAGACAUCAUAUCCCACGUGUUUUGUCUUAGGUGUCUAUGUGCCUCUCCAUAAAAGCAUCUAAAUCUUCACUCCUUGCUGAUAUCUGAAACCACCAUAUCUAUAUGAUACUUCGAGAAAUUCAGUAGCCUCAUACUAACCGGGCUCUUCCAAAAAAUAGCAAGACCGCCACUUCUUCCGCUACUACCAACUGCAUAGCCUCCUUCAUACCCCAGAACCCUCAUCAGGCCUUCAACUCUCUGCUUGGACAAUUGAGUUUCAACUAGACAAACCACCUCCGGCGCACACUCCUUGAUGAGCUCCUUGAGCUCUCGAACUGUCGAGGGGUCCGCCUAUCCCUCGACAAUUCCAACAUAUGAUUCUCAUUGGGUCUGGCGGCCCUCCUCGGAGGAGGCCGCCUCACUAGUGAAUUCCAUGUCCUCUCCCUCUUCUCUUAGCUCAAGUCUAAAGGUACAAAUGAGAAUGUGCUGGGUGUAGUUGUAGUUGCCGUGUUGCCUGGCUACCGAGCAGCCCAAGCCCAGUAGUCGCUAACAGGCCGCCGCACCACGCGUCCAUGCGAGAGAGCGCCCUCCCAGGUCUCCUUUCCUCUCCCGUCGCCGUCAUCUCCAUUGCCACUGCUGGCCGUCACCGUCGCUGGGAGGAGCACCAGAUCUGCGCCUCCCUACUCCUCCCCAUCGGGACCGGGUAGGAGGUGGAUGACCGAGGACCCCGGGGACGACAAGGUGGCCGAGCAGUCCACGACGCCAUCGGAGACAGAAAAAGGGGUCCAGCCAUCCGCGGCGCCGUCGCCGACGUCCAGAAUGGGACGCUCAUCAUGCUUCUCCACUUUAUGGCCGUGUGUAGCUUGCAGAGGCAGAUUUCAGCGGUGGCAUGGUCGUGCAGCCUCUCCAUACCACAACGUCUUUCUCCUCAGGCCGGUUGCUACCUUAAGUAAAUUUGUAUUGUUUGCAGUUGAUAGGAUCAAGAUUUUGUUCAAAAAGAAAGAGAUAUAGAGGUUCACUUUCUUGCCCAGGUGAGUGCUCGAGUUGGUAGUGUUUAAAGGAUACAUAACCUUGGUGGCGUUUCUACUAUUUUUCAUCUGCUCAAACUGUAAGUAUAUUCAGAUUAAUUUUUAUUACCGAAAAAGGGUUUCCCCCCACUUUAUAUUAUAAAGCACCAGACACACGAUCACAGGGUAACUGCCGGGGCGAACGGCACAACAAGCCCAAAAGGGAAAAAUAAGAAAUAAAAGCCAACAACGGCAGCUCGGCAAGCACAAAUGAUCCGCCACCGCUGCGCCCUCCACCUUCGUCCCACCACACGCCAUGGCACCGGCCCGCCGCAUACCAAGCAGCACCUCCAAGAAGGAAUGCGACGCCAACGACGCUGCUGCCCGGACGAGUCCUAGGGUUUCCCCCGGCAUACGGAGGGGAGCGGGUGAUGGGUAGCGCCGACGCCCUUCAAGAAGGAAUGAUGGCACCCUCAGGUGUCACCGCGUCGGAGCCGGAAGAACUGGCAAAGAUUUCUCCCACAUCCCCAAGCACCGCUACCCACUCGAACCGGGGCCAUCCAACCAUCAAGCCACCCGCAAGCACGCGCCACCACGGUCUUGGACACAUCCACGCCGCCCCGCUGCGAACACCACCACGAGGCCAAGGAGGCCGGAAAGAAGCGCCAAGCGACGGGAGGAACCACACCGAAGCCAAGCGGGAGGGAACCACCUCCCCCGCCGACGUGCGGGAGGUCCGAGCCCCCGGCGACGUCGUGGUCGCCGACCGGACGUGGCAGCAGGGCACACCGGGCCACCCCUGGCCCGGCCAGGUCCACAACGGACCCGCAAAGCCCCGCCGGCCAUGUUGCAGCAAGCCGGCACCUACGCCGCCCGCUCCCAGCUGUCAACGCCGCUCUCCCGCCUCCUGGAGGCCACGCCGCCGGCCCGUCCCGCCGUUGGCCCGCCCAAAUCCAGAUGGGGCCCAAAGGGCCCAGAUCUGGGCCGAGCGGGCUGGUUCAGGCCGCGCCGCCGCGCUGCCCCGCCGCCAACGGCGACGCCGUCGCCCAGUCGUCCACCCACGCCGCGCCAGGAUCUCCGCCGCCACGUCGGACCGCCGCCGCCGAAGAGCACCCCCCGGUGCACACCGCCCCGCGCCGGGGAGCACCGAGAGGGGAAGGGCAGGAGGCCGCCGCCGCCAGCAACCCAGGGGCCAGGCCUGGCCGCGGGUGCCGGCGACGGCGGCGGGGAGGGAGGGAGGGAAGGGGGGGCUCUAGAGGAGGGGGGGCGCCGGAGCGCGGCCGGUCGCCCGCGGGGACGACACGGUCGCGCGAGAGGAGAAGAAAGAAACGGAGGGAGUAUACUGCAGGCUGUAAAAACUCGUAAAUCAUGCUCUUGAGAUUAUCGCCAUGAGUAGUAUUUACUGGCAUAUCAUGUUUUAGAUGUUUCUCUUCAAGAGAUGCUUGCACUUUAGUUAGAGAAUUUUAUUCCUGCCGAAUCAGUAGUAUGUGUUAGAAUUGUGUACGAGAACAGGGAACAAGUAUGGUAGGCAGUGCAACAUUUAAUUAGCAAUUAGACCGAAAGAUCAUACUCAUAGGCAAUGAUGUUCUUGUCUCAUUCUUUAUUUAUUACCAGAUCAUAUCCAUAAAAACGUAUUGCUUAAUCGAGUCUUGGUUUACUUACAUGUUCUGCUUAUAAAACCAUUAUUUUCUGUAACGACCUGCUUCACAAUGAUGUGGUCCAAACCAAAUAUCUUUUCUUUUGUUAACAAACAUUUGUUAUUAUGCUUAGCAUUAUCGGGGUGACCUCUCAGAUUUGGAGUUGUACUUCGUUAUUAUGAAUAAUGAAUAUGGUCAACAAUCCGAAGAAGAGUUGCUUUCUGCUGGGAGAGUGACGCGUGUGUUACUAAUCUCUUAUUUAGCGUUGCUCUAGGGUCGGUAGUACCAUAUGAAAGAUCAAACAUUUCAUUCCUCCUUUUGUUCUGAUGCAGAUGCUUGCUUAUGUGGUUGCAGAUCGACUUGCGAUAUGUUAAGCAAAUCACUGUGCCACGCAAUGAGCAAUUAGAAAAGAGUGUUUCACCAAAGAUAUAGUAUGGACCUGCAGCUUGUUGAUAAUUUGCUCCUUGGGAGGUCUGUUUCCUUCAAGUACAGCUAAAGCAAAGAGACACCAAGUUGUUUACUGCUUGAGAUUUUGAUUACCAAUCUGCAACAAUGCACAUGCCCUUUGGUAUUGCACUCUAAAUAUUUUCAUUGCUCAUUUGUUCUCCUGCAGAUAGUUUACAUCUUAACUGUCUACAACAAAAGGGAUCCAAAGCCAUCCAUGCCAUUCCGUAUUCCUCUCAUCAUACACUUGAUCAUAAAAAUCAGCUUAUUUUGUUACGGCCCUACCAUUUAAUCUAUCAAACUACUGUUAUUGCAAUUGGUCUUGAAAGGCCACUAAACUAUUACUACAUUAUUUGGCAUUGCUGUAUGAUUUAUUCAUUUGGAGGAACUUCUUUUAUUGGUGAGAAAAAUACUGUGAUUCAGUCCCAUCCUUUUUACUAUGUGAUUCGAUUUACCAGCACUGGACUUUUUACAUGCUGUUAUGCAUUUAUUCAGUCCCAUCCUUUUAGAUUAUCCUUCCACUUUCAGCUGAGAUAUGAUAUAUCUAAAAGCUCUAAUGAGCAUGUAUAGCUAGCAAGGAAUAACUAAAGUCUUUGCAAUUUACGUGUUGUUGUGCGUCGAUUUAGCCCAAUUGUGCAAUCAGAAUGACUUAGAUUCCGCCGUUGUCAUAAGCCCGAGGUUCUGAUCUUAGACCUGGCCGUUCGACCAGAUACUAAGUCAGACAAACUCUGUCUAGUUCUUGAGAUUAUUUUCUAGCUUUGGAUUAAAAAUCUGCAAACAGUACUUAUGCUUCUUACAUUCCUUCCGGCUGUAAAAUACACACAUUCUUUCUAUUUGUUGUAACUUUCUACUAAACUAUGUGUGUUGAACAAAGCAUGUCAUCUUAUUUCAGAUAAAUGAUGAUGUAGUAAUGGAUGCCUUCUACACGCUACAUGUGUGGUUCCCGAAUUGGACCAUAUAUUUCCGCGAAGAUCUUCAAAUCGACUUGCGAUGUUGGGCAGAUCACAACAUUAAAAGACGAGCAUUUAGAGAAGUGUGUGCUCGCCAAGGACCCAAUGGGUUUCUUAAGAGCUGGUUGCACAUCGUUGCUGUUAGAUGCACCCAACAGGAAAAUUGUUUUUUCUUCACUUCUUGGGCCAGCAUUACUCGACGAGGAACCUAAUCCAUUCUUGGCGAAGGAAAUCCGAAGACUCCGGCAGAUAACAUAUUUGUUGGCAUUGACUCCUGUCAUUAUUGCAACUAUUUUAGGCUGCUACCCGAUUGUCACUGGCCAUUUUUAUAGAAACGCCUUGCUUUCGCUAUUUUGUACUGUUCGGCUGCCCCUUAAUGCGCUACUCAGGCUUCGGCCUUUUUUUAUAUAAAUGACUUGCUCUUACUA